rnacentral:rRNA from 1 species
UACGUAGGGGGCAAGCGUUGUCCGGAAUUAUUGGGCGUAAAGCGCGUGUAGGCGGCUCGAUAAGUCCGGUGUGAAACCUUGGGGCUCAACCCCAAGCCUGCACUGGAUACUGUCGAGCUAGAGUCCGGGAGGGGAGAGCGGAAUUCCUAGUGUAGCGGUGAAAUGCGCAGAUAUUAGGAAGAACACCGGUGGCGAAGGCGGCUCUCUGGAACGGUACUGACGCUGAGACGCGAAAGCGUGGGGAGCGAACAGG